AUCGCUUCUCGGCCUUUUGGCUAAGAUCAAGUGUAGUAUCUGUUCUUAUCAGUUUAAUAUCUGAUACGACCCCUACCCGGGGACUACAUAUUAAAUUGAUUUUUGGAUCACGGAGCUGGAGCCGGGGCUUGCUCUGUCCACUCCACGCAUCGGCCUGGUAUUGCAGUGUUUCCAGGAACGGUGUGCUUCCC
ensembl:snRNA U2 U2 spliceosomal RNA